rnacentral:sRNA from 1 species
AAAGGAGGAAGUGAGCGGAUGCUGGGCGGGACUAUGUGGCAGCCUGCAAGUCCCAGUGCGGCGCUGAUUUGUGUCUAAAUUAGCUUUCCGGAGGACUAUUUCAAAUUACUAAAGAGAUAGGAGGCAUUGUUUAUUAUGUCUCUCCCGAAAACGCCCUCCACCCCGCUAAACUCUACAUCAACAUCUGAGAGCAAAAAGUUAAAAGUGUCUGUAGCCAAGGAAGGGACAAGAGGACUUCCUGAGCUAAAGGAGAAAAAAAAUAUGGUGGAUCGUUCAAAACUCCUUCCUACUUCCCUUCAGAAUGAGUUCAUUCCCAAAGAAGUUCUUCUUUCUCUGACCUAUGCGGCCAAUGCUGGUCCUUGUCCUGAAAACUUACUACCUCCUAAGAAAAUUAAAACCCCAAAGGGCACUCUUCCACGCCUUGUAGACCAUGUCUGGCAUCACCCUGUUCGAAGGAAUAAAUUCAAAUACCUGAUUGACCAUCCCGUCUCCCUCACGGGAGCUGGAAGG